CAAUGGCACUGCCCGGUAGCUAAAUGCGGAAGAGAUAAGUGCUGAAAGCAUCUAAGCACGAAACUUGCCCCGAGAUGAGUUCUCCCUGAGACUAUAAGUCUCCUGAAGGAACGUUAAAGACGAUGACGUUGAUAGGCCGGGUGUGUAAGCGCAGCGAUGCGUUGAGCUAACCGGUACUAAUGAACCGUGAGGCUUAACCUUACAACGCCGAAG
rnacentral:rRNA from 1 species